AAGACAGAGACUGAGGGAAGUGUCCCAGAUAGGAGGAGACAAAGCAGACGUGAGAACUCAGUGCAGUGUGUGAGCCUGGGUUGGAGCCUGGAACAGAAGAAGAUCAGUGGGACAACUGACAAAGAUGGAAUAAGAGAGGUAAACUACAGAAACAAGGGAGCUACGCGGCCAGGAGGUUGGGCAGAACCAGGAGUGGAGGAUGGGGGCUGCAGAAACCUCCUGAAGCUGGGCUCCAGGGGAAGUUACCUGACAUGUCUGCGAGGACACUCAAGCAGCCUUAUGGAGAGGCCAUGUGGCGAAGGUCUGAGGCCUCCUGUCAACAGCUUGGUGAGGGCGCCAUCUUGGAAACAGAUCCUCCAGCUCCAGGCAAGCCCUCAGAUGACUGUAGUCCUGAUUGACAUCUUGAUUUCAACCUCAUGGGAAUCCCUGAGCCAGAGCCAUCCAGCUCAGUCACGCCUUAACUCCUGAUCCACAGAACUGGCGAGAUAAUAAAAGUUUAUUGUUU
rnacentral:lncRNA from 1 species